rnacentral:rRNA from 1 species
UACGUAGGGUGCGAGCGUUGUCCGGAAUUAUUGGGCGUAAAGAGCUCGUAGGCGGUCUGUCACGUCGGCUGUGAAAUCCCGAGGCUCAACCUCGGGUCUGCAGUCGAUACGGGCAAACUAGAGUAUUGCAGGGGAGACUGGAAUUCCUGGUGUAGCGGUGAAAUGCGCAGAUAUCAGGAGGAACACCGAUGGCGAAGACAGAUCUCUGGGCCGUAACUGACGCUGAGGAGCGAAAGCGUGGGGAGCGAACAGG